GUAUUUUCCAGAUUGAACACGAACACAUUUCUCCAUGUGAUCGGUUUGAAAAAUUCUUAAGAUACUUGGAAAUUUUCCUACUCUUCUUAACAUGAAACCAAUGGUAGCCUUAAUUCA